CAUUCAUGCACACUGGCAUUUGCAAAUCUUAACCGGUUGCAUCUAGUAGCUAAUUAACUAUCCAAAUUCUGAGGAGUGCUCAAAGCAGAAAGCCAAGUUUGCCCAUUUCCCCUGUUCGCAUUUGGUUCCUCUCCUCGGCGGCGAUGGACCAAACUCAGAAUCUCAGACCACGGUUCACUCCCUGGAUCACGAUAUCCUCUGCGUCAUCUUUUCCUUGCUCGACCUCUUUGACCUGUCCGAUGCUUUGUCAUCUGCAAAUCCUGGAAUGCGAUUAUGAAUAAUUCUAAGUUGCUGCAACUGUUCUACUACAAGCAGUAGCAGACGGGUCUCGCGGGUGUUUGUUUCCAAUAAGUCUAGUGAUUCGGAGGAAUCGUUGAACUAAUAUUUGGAUGGACUUCGUAGAUUGGCUUUGCAAGAGGGUGUUAUUGAUACUGAUUAUUGAUCAAGGGAGAGACUUCGCUGGGGAAGAUAUCACUUUUAUGUAAACUUGAUUUCUUUUAGGGUGGAUCAUUGCCGAAUGAAGAUGGGCUUACUUCUUACCUGUGUAGGUGAGAAGGUGUUUUCCUCCUGAUUUUUUUCUUUCAUCCUUGUCUGGCUUCCUUCCAUCUUUCACUCAAUUUGCCCUGAUUCUCAUUUUGAGGUGAUUGUUUCAAAAUACCGUUGCACCAUCAUAUUCCAAUCCUGAGACAACCCCAAUUGUCAGACUUAUUCAUGAGAGCAAAGCUUUCCCUGCAGGCAUUAGGACUUUGCCUUUCAACAUAAGUUCGCACUAAAUAUUUGCUGGGUCAACCUCUGGACAUACUUCUUGUUGGGACCUUAGGCAUGCAAUUAUGAGCUCUCUGCUAUUUUGACGGUAAGUUCCAGAGUAAAUUAACUAUUAGGUUUGCAUUCUGGUCAGGCCCCAGUUAGGUCUUACUAAGUAUGAAACUUGCAAUUGAGCGACCAUGUUCUGUUAUGUUAUUUCGAGGACAAGGAGAAGAUCAUGGGAGACAAGGGUCAGUCUCAAUGUCAUAUAUUCUGUACAACUACUUCAGAAUGAUAAAUCAACUAUGCUUGUUUGGUUGGUGGAAUAGAUGUGGUGCGUUAUGCAUUUUGAACCAGAACGCAGGUGAAAAUUGUCUCUAGCAUUGUCUUGGAAGGCAACAGAUCAAAUUUUCAACACCCACAUGGUGCCCUUGAAAGAUUUAAAGGAAGAAGGAUUAAGAAGAUACUUGCAUUAACAGCAUUCCAAGAAGUGUACCAGUAUCUUGCUUGGCUGUCAGGAUGAAGAAAGUUGCCACCACACAGAAAUGACAAUGAGAAGUUUUCAGAGACAUGAGUCAGUCUGAACGUCUAAUAUUCUGUACACCUACUCCAGAAUGAUAAAUCACUAUGGUUGUUGGUGGAAUAGAUGGUGUGCUACGCAUUUUGAACCAGAACCUAGGUGAAAUUGUUUCUAGCAUUAUCUUGGAAGGCAAUAGUUAAAGUUUUCAACACCGGCAUGGUGCCAUUGAAAGAUUCAAAUGAAGAAGGCUUAAGAAGAUACUCUGGUUAACAGCAUUCCAAGAAGUGCCCGACCACCACUAUCUUGCUUGGCUGUCGAGAUGAGGAAAGUGAAAGUUGCCACGACACCGAUACGCAGGUACAUCAGAGUGAGGAAAUUCAAGGAGUAAGUUAGAGCACAAUGUUAAAUACUAGGAAAUUGAUCUUGUAUAAUUGUUAUUGUUUCCUUUCAUAGAAACUAUUAAAAUAUCAUAUGCUGUUCGAUUUUCCAGAUCCAA